rnacentral:rRNA from 1 species
UACAGAGGGGGCAAGCGUUGUUCGGAAUUACUGGGCGUAAAGGGCGCGUAGGCGGCCUGUUAAGUCGAACGUGAAAUCCCCAGGCUUAACCUGGGAAUGGCAUCCGACACUGGAGGGCUUGAAUUCGGGAGAGGGAUGCAGAAUUCCAGGUGUAGCGAUGAAAUGCGUAGAUUUCAGGAGGAGCACCGGUGGCGAAGGCGGGUCUCUGGGCCGACACUGACGCUGAGGAGCGAAAGCGUGGGGAGCGAACAGG